UACGGAGGGUGCAAGCGUUAUCCGGAUUUACUGGGUUUAAAGGGUGCGUAGGUGGGUAGGAAAGUCAGUGGUGAAAUCUUCGGGCUUAACCCGGAAACUGCCAUUGAUACUAUUUAUCUUGAAUACUUUGGAGGUAAGCGGAAUAUGUCAUGUAGCGGUGAAAUGCUUAGAUAUGACAUAGAACACCAAUUGCGAAGGCAGCUCACUAAACUGUAACUGACGCUGAGGCACGAAAGCGUGGGGAGCAAACAGG
rnacentral:rRNA from 1 species